AGAGGGUGAUCGGCCACACUGGAACUGAGACACGGUCCAGACUCCUACGGGAGGCAGCAGUAGGGAAUCUUCCGCAAUGGGCGAAAGCCUGACGGAGCAACGCCGCGUGAGUGAUGAAGGUCUUCGGAUCGUAAAACUCUGUUAUUAGGGAAGAACAUAUGUGUAAGUAACUGUGCACAUCUUGACGGUACCUAAUCAGAAAGCCACGGCUAACUACGUGCCAGCAGCCGCGGUAAUACGUAGGUGGCAAGCGUUAUCCGGAAUUAUUGGGCGUAAAGCGCGCGUAGGCGGUUUUUUAAGUCUGAUGUGAAAGCCCACGGCUCAACCGUGGAGGGUCAUUGGAAACUGGAAAACUUGAGUGCAGAAGAGGAAAGUGGAAUUCCAUGUGUAGCGGUGAAAUGCGCAGAGAUAUGGAGGAACACCAGUGGCGAAGGCGACUUUCUGGUCUGUAACUGACGCUGAUGUGCGAAAGCGUGGGG
rnacentral:rRNA from 1 species